CUAGAAAACGUCAGGAUUGCACAUUGCAAUCUGGACAAAACCUAAGGUGAUGAAUUUGUAAAUGUUAAUCUUCAAUGCUAAUGGAUUGUUGUUGCUAUCUGCAUGCUUCAAAGAAAGGUUACCCUGUCUGGUUGGUUUACCAUUUAUCUUAGACUGCAGCCUCUUGUUUCGUAUUAUUUUGCAGUUUUUCCAGUGCUUACAAGGCUUGAAUGCUUGAAUGCUCCUUUUAAAUGCUUUUAAAAACCUUUCCUGUAUGCAUUUCUUACCAGAUGGAAACAGAGAAGCAGCAAUUAAGUCCACAAUCAUGUAUUUCCUGAGAUGUACAUGGAAAGAAAUUCACUUUGAGACAUAACAGUAAUAAUUAACUGUAGAUCCCCAAAAAGAUACAAAACAUAGAAGUAACAAUGAAAUUAUCAUUUUGCUGAGACUUGGAGGAAAAAUAAUCAUUUUGAAACGUUGGAUUCCAUAUCAAUUUCGUACUAGGUGCAAAACAGAGAAGCAAGGAAAAGAGCAUGUGCUGAGACUCAAGAGGAGAAAAUCAAAUUGGGACAUUGGAUCUCAUAGGAGGCACAAGACAGAAAAAAA